rnacentral:rRNA from 1 species
AGGAUUCCCCUAGUAACUGCGAGUGAAGCGGGAAAAGCUCAAAUUUAAAAUCUGGCGGUCUCUGGCCGUCCGAGUUGUAAUCUAGAGAAGUGUUACCCGCGCUGGACCGUGUACAAGUCCCCUGGAAUGGGGCGUCAUAGAGGGUGAGAAUCCCGUCUCUGACACGGACUACCAGGGCUUUGUGGUAUGCUCUCAAAGAGUCGAGUUGUUUGGGAAUGCAGCUCAAAAUGGGUGGUAAAUUCCAUCUAAAGCUAAAUAUUGGCGAGAGACCGAUAGCGAACAAGUACCGUGAGGGAAAGAUGAAAAGAACUUUGGAAAGAGAGUUAAACAGUACGUGAAAUUGCUGAAAGGGAAACGCUUGAAGUCAGUCGCGUUGGCCGGGAAUCAGCCUCGCUUUUGCGUGGUGUACUUUCUGGUUGACGGGUCAGCAUCAAUUUUGACCGCUGGAAAAAGGCUUGGGGAAUGUGGCAGCUCCGGCUGUGUUAUAGCCCCUUGUCACAUACAGCGGUUGGGAUUGAGGAACUCAGCACGCCGCAAGGCCGGGUUUCGACCACGUUCGUGCUUAGGAUGCUGGCAUAAUGGCUUUAAGCGACCCGUCUUGAAACACGGACCAAGGAGUCUAACAUGCCUGCGAGUGUUUGGGUGGAAAACCCGAGCGCGUAAUGAAAGUGAAAGUUGAGAUCCCUGUCGCGGGGAGCAUCGACGCCCGGACCAGAACUUUUGGGACGGAUCCGCGGUAGAGCAUGUAUGUUGGGACCCGAAAGAUGGUGAACUAUGCCUGAAUAGGGUGAAGCCAGAGGAAACUCUGGUGGAGGCUCGUAGCGAUUCUGACGUGCAAAUCGAUCGUCAAAUUUGGGUAUAGGGGCGAAAGACUAAUCGAACCAUCUAGUAGC